rnacentral:rRNA from 1 species
CAAUAGCGUAUAUUAAAGUUGUUGCAGUUAAAAAGCUCGUAGUUGGAUUUCUGGUGGGAGCGAUCGGUCUGGCGCUUAGCGCGAGUACUUGCAUCGUCUCCGGCCAUCCUUGGGGAGAGUCUGUCUGGCAUUAAGUUGUCGGGCAGAGGAUCCUCAUCGUUUACUGUGAAAAAAUUAGAGUGUUCAAAGCAGGCUUAUGCCGUUGAAUAUAUUAGCAUGAAAUAAUAAGAUAGGACUUUGGUACUAUUUUGUUGGUUUGCGCACCAAAGUAAUGAUUAAUAGGGACAGUUGGGGGUAUUCGUAUUCCGUUGUCAGAGGUGAAAUUCUUGGAUUUACGGAAGACGAACUACUGCGAAAGCAUUUACCAAGGAUGUUUUCAUUAA